UGCCUAGUACGGCGAGUGAGCGGGAAGAGCUCAAAUUUGAAAUCUGGUGGCCUCAGGUCAUCCGAGUUGUAAUCUAUAAAAACGUUUUCCGUGCUGGCUCAUGUACAAGUCCCUUGGAACAGGGCGUCAUAAAGGGUGAAAAUCCCGUCCUUGACAUGAACUACCAGUGCUCUGUGAUACGUUUUCAACGAGUCUAGUUGUUUGGAAAUA
rnacentral:rRNA from 1 species